GGCGAGUGAAGCGGCAACAGCUCAAAUUUGAAAUCUGGCCCCCCGCGGGCCCGAGUUGUACUUUGGAGAGGACGCUUCUGGCGCGGCGCCGUCCGAGUUCCCUGGAACGGGACGCCGGAGAGGGUGAGAGCCCCGUACGGGCGGCCGCCUAGCCUCUGCGAAGCUCCUUCGACGAGUCGAGUAGUUUGGGAAUGCUGCUCAAAAUGGGAGGUAAAUUUCUUCUAAAGCUAAAUACCGGCCAGAGACCGAUAGCGCACAAGUAGAGUGAUCGAAAGAUGAAAAGCACUUUGAAAAGAGGGUCAAACAGUACGUGAAAUUGUUGAAAGGGAAGCGCCUGUGGCCAGACUUGCGCCCCGCGGACCACCCGGCGCCUCGCGCGCCGGGGCACGCCAGCGGGGCGCAGGCCAGCAUCGGCUCUCUCGGGGGGACAAAGGCCGCGGGAACGUAGCGCCCUCG
rnacentral:rRNA from 1 species